rnacentral:lncRNA from 1 species
AUAUGGUUUGGACUGGUCUUGUCAUGUGGAAUAGCCUGCCAGGAGCUUAUGCCUGGGACAGCCCCCACAAGCUUAUGUGUGGAAGAAUUUGAUCCGAGAAAGAUCAUGAAUGAUUUGAUCCGAGAAAGAUCAUGGCCACUUUGAUCCAAGAAAGAUCAUAAAUAGUUCGAUCCGAGGAAGAUCACAGAAAUCGAUCCGAAUAAAAGAUCGUCGCCUGAUCCUGGUAGUCCAAAGCCAAAGCCAAAAAGAAAAGGAUUAAAGACGAUGUGAUAAUAGAAGAAAAUAGAA